rnacentral:ncRNA from 7 species
ACAAACGUAGCUCAACUGGUUUGAGUCAUUGCUUCAGAACUAAUUGUGCUAGGUUCGAAUCCUAGUGUCGCUU